CAGGAGUUAAGGCAGAUGUGGAGGCACAACGUGUGAUACCAGACACACACCAAGCACAUUAUGUUCGGACAUUCAAUCAUGACAGGAUCCAGGUGGAUGCUGUCCAUUGAGAAAAGAGUUUGUUCAGCGGUUUCUGGAUAGAAUUAAUUCCAAAGAUGGGAAAAAGUGCACAUCCAGACAAGGAGCAAGCAAAAAGACAAGGAACUUGGUGCAGAGAAAAGCUGUGGCCAUUAACCCCCAUGUGAACAGCUUCAUGCAGUCCCUGAUUGAGUUCGAAUGGACGACUUCAAAGUAAAGGCCACUGUGGUCUGUCUGCCAGUUUAAUGCAUUUAUUUUUAGUGUUAAAUGAAAUUUAAGUAGAAUAUUUAAAACUAUGGGCCAGUGUUCUUUUUACCACAGUGAAAUGUUACCUUUUAGUCGAUGAUGGACUUUAAACUGAAAACUUCAAACUAUGGAACAGUGUUCUAUUUGCCAGAGUUAAAUAUGUUACAGCAGGGGUCUCCAAACUUGUUUAUACUUGUUGAUUUUAUUUUAUGUUACUUGAUUAUAUGUUUAUUAUUGUUUAAAAUCUUGUUUUAAAUAUGUUUGUUUCAAUUAAAUGUUUUUUUAAAUAAAAUUUUGA